rnacentral:misc_RNA from 1 species
GAUGAAGAACGUAGCGAAAUGCGAUAAGUAAUGUGAAUUGCAGAAUUCAGUGAAUCAUCGAAUCUUUGAACGCACAUUGCGCGCUUGGUAUUCCAUGGGGCAUGCCUGUUCGAGCGUCAUUUGUACCUUCAAGCCUUGCUUGGUGUUGGGUGUUUGUCUCGCCUCUGCGCGCAGACUCGCCUCAAAACAAUUGGCAGCCGGCGUAUUGAUUUCGGAGCGCAGUACAUCUCGCGCUUUGCACUCAGAACGACGACGUCCAAAAGUACAUUUUUACACUCUUGACCUCGGAUCAGGUAGGGAUACCCGCUGAACUUAAGCAUAUCAAUAAGCGGAGGA